rnacentral:rRNA from 1 species
GACGAACGCUGGCGGCGUGCUUAACACAUGCAAGUCGAACGAAGUGGCGAACGGGUGAGUAACGCGUAAUCAACCUGCCCUUCAGAGGGGGACAACAGUUGGCAACGACUGCUAAUACCGCAUACUGAAGGAGGGGAUUUCGUCUGAUUAGCUAGUUGGAGGGGUAACGGCCCACCAAGGCGAUGAUCAGUAGCCGGGCGGAGAGGAGGAACGGCCAAAUUGGGACUGAGACACGGCCCAGACUCCUAAGGGAGGCAGCAGUGGGGAAUCUUCCGCAAUGGACGAAAGUCUGACGAAGCAACGCCGCGUGAGUGAGGACGGCCUUCGGGUUGGAAAGCUCUGUUAAUCGGGACGCGGUACCGGAAUAGAAAGCCACGGCUAACUACGUGCCAGCAGCCGCGGUAAUAC